AGCAUUCGUAAAUUCAGAAUAUAUUUAGCGUGCAGAAACUGAUGAGCAAGAUAGAAGUCUCUGCAUAAGCUUAGCGCAGCCUUCCACCUCACAAGUCUGUGCUGUACUGAAUCACCAGAUGAUUACUGUCUGUAUGAAUGACUCCAAUUACAGCAUUAUUAUGUUAUUUAUCAUUUGACAAAUGAAGCAGGACGACGGCCUGUUUGCAUCAGGUGCUGUACAAACAUUUGGAUGUGCUCAGACAAGAUCCCGAGGACUAUCCAUAAAGUCAAUGGGACUGGAGUGGGAAUCUUCAGACAAGGGCCCCUUUCCGUGAGCAGCCUGAUCUACGACCGCCGUAGCAAAUGCUGUGGUCUGCUGUGCCAGCAAGCAGCCUCUUCACACGCCUGCUUUUCUCUGCGUGCUCCCCUUCAGUGGACUUGCUCCCUCCAAUCAAGGCCUCACAGCUACACAGUGUACCUGUCAGCCGCGCCGAAAUUCCCAGCGCAGUCCCGAAUUGUGUGCUGUACGAUUACCGAGGGAAGCUCAGCGCUGCGCCUUAUCUUUUUUGUAAAUCCUCU
rnacentral:lncRNA from 7 species